rnacentral:rRNA from 1 species
CCAGACUCCUACGGGAGGCAGCAGUGAGGAAUAUUGGUCAAUGGACGAGAGUCUGAACCAGCCAAGUAGCGUGAAGGAUGACUGCCCUAUGGGUUGUAAACUUCUUUUAUAAAGGAAUAAAACGAGGCACGUGUGCCUUUUUGCAUGUACUUUAUGAAUAAGGAUCGGCUAACUCCGUGCCAGCAGCCGCGGUAAUACGGAGGAUCCGAGCGUUAUCCGGAUUUAUUGGGUUUAAAGGGAGCGUAGAUGGGUUGUUAAGCCGGCGGUAAAAAUUCAGGGCUCAACCCUGUCGAGCCGUCGGAACUGGCAGUCUUGAGUGGGCGAGAAGUAUGCGGAAUGCGUGGUGUAGCGGUGAAGUGCAUAGAUAUCACGCAGAACGCCGAUUGCGAAGGCAGCAUACCGGCGCCCAACUGACGCUGAGGCACGAAAGCGUGGGGAUCGAACAGGAUUAGAUACCCCGGUA